rnacentral:rRNA from 1 species
AGUGAACGCUGGCGGUAGGCCUAACACAUGCAAGUCGAACGGCAGCACAGUAAGAGCUUGCUCUUACGGGUGGCGAGUGGCGGACGGGUGAGGAAUACAUCGGAAUCUACUUUUUCGUGGGGGAUAACGUAGGGAAACUUACGCUAAUACCGCAUACGACCUACGGGUGAAAGCAGGGGAUCUUCGGACCUUGCGCGAUUGAAUGAGCCGAUGUCGGAUUAGCUAGUUGGCGGGGUAAAGGCCCACCAAGGCGACGAUCCGUAGCUGGUCUGAGAGGAUGAUCAGCCACACUGGAACUGAGACACGGUCCAGACUCCUACGGGAGGCAGCAGUGGGGAAUAUUGGACAAUGGGCGCAAGCCUGAUCCAGACAUACCGAGUGGGUGAAGAAGGCCUUCGGGUUGUAAAGCCCUUUUGUUGGGAAAGAAAAGCAGCAGGUUAAUACCCCGCUGUUCUGACGGUACCCAAAGAAUAAGCACCGGCUAACUUCGUG